UUAGAGGAAGUAAAAGUCGUAACAAGGUUUCCGUAGGUGAACCUGCGGAAGGAUCAUUACUGAAAUAUUUAUGGCGCUGGUUGUAGCUGGCUUCUAGGAGCACUGUGCACACCCGUCAUUUUUACCUUUCCACCUGUGCACUUAAUGUAGAUCUGGAUAACUCUCGCUCUUACCGAGUGGAUGCAAGGAUUGCCGUUGUCGCAAGACCGGCUCUCUUYGAAUUUCCAGGUCUAUGUAUUUUUUACACACCCCAAUUGAAUGAUGAAGAAUGUAGUCAAUGGGCUUUUUAAGCCUAUAUAAAACAAAAUACAACUUUCAGCAACGGAUCUCUUGGCUCUCGCAUCGAUGAAGAACGCAGCGAAAUGCGAUAAGUAAUGUGAAUUGCAGAAUUCAGUGAAUCAUCGAAUCUUUGAACGCACCUUGCGCUCCUUGGUAUUCCGAGGAGCAUGCCUGUUUGAGUGUCAUUAAAUUCUCAACUUCAUCAGUUUUGUUACGAGACUGUGUGAGGCUUGGAUAUUGGGGGCUUGUGCAGAAUGUGUCAAAGCGGACUGCUCCCCUUAAAUGAAUUAGCGAGUUCUAACUGGGCUCCGUCUACUGGUGUGAUAAUUAUCUACGCUGUGGAUGGGGCUUAGACUCGCUUCUAAUCGUCUGCAAGGACAAAUCUCUUGACAAUUGACCUCAAAUCAGGUAGGACU
rnacentral:rRNA from 1 species